UGAAAUCUUUGAUUAGGUCUGG
rnacentral:miRNA from 2 species